GACGAACGCUGGCGGCGUGCCUAAUACAUGCAAGUCGAGCGGACCGACCAGGAGCUUGCUCUUGUUCGGUUAGCGGCGGACGGGUGAGUAACACGUGGGUAACCUGCCCGUAAGACCGGGAUAACUCCGGGAAACCGGAGCUAAUACCGGAUAACACCGAAGACCGCAUGGUCUUUGGUUGAAAGGCGGCUUCGGCUGCCACUUACGGAUGGGCCCGCGGCGCAUUAGCUAGUUGGUGAGGUAACGGCUCACCAAGGCGACGAUGCGUAGCCGGCCUGAGAGGGUGACCGGCCACACUGGGACUGAGACACGGCCCAGACUCCUACGGGAGGCAGCAGUAGGGAAUCUUCCGCAAGGGACGAAAGUCUGACGGAGCGACGCCGCGUGGGCGAAGAAGGUCUGCGGAUCGUAAAGCUCUGUUGUUAGGGAAGAAGAAGCGUCGUUCGAACAGGGCGGCGCGGUGACGGUACCUAACGAGAAAGCCCCGGCUAACUACG
rnacentral:rRNA from 1 species